AUUGAACGCUGGCGGAAUGCUUUACACAUGCAAGUCGAACGGCAGCACGGACUUCGGUCUGGUGGCGAGUGGCGAACGGGUGAGUAACAUAUCGGAACGUAUCCAAUAAUGGGGGAUAACGAGUCGAAAGAUUCGCUAGUACCGCAUACGCCCUACGGGGGAAAGCUGGGGACCUUCGGGCCUGGCGUUAAUGGAGCGGCCGAUAUCUGAUUAGCUAGUUGGUGAGGUAAAGGCUCACCAAGGCGACGAUCAGUAGCUGGUCUGAGAGGACGACCAGCCACACUAGAACUGAGACACGGUCCAGACUCCUACGGGAGGCAGCAGUGGGGAAUUUUGACAAUGGGCGCAAGCCUGAUCCAGCCAUUCCGCGUGAGUGAAGAAGGCCUUCGGGUUGUAAAGCUCUUUCGCAAGGGAAGAAAACUUAGCCACUAACAUUGGUUGAGGUUGACGGUACCUUGAUAAGAAGCACCGGCUAACUACGUGCCAGCCGCCGCAGUA
rnacentral:rRNA from 1 species